UACGGAGGGUGCGAGCGUUGUCCGGAAUCACUGGGCGUAAAGGGCGCGUAGGCGGCGCGGAUAGUCGGCGGUGAAAGCCGGGAGCUCAACUCCGGGUCGGCCGUCGAUACUUCCGGGCUUGAGCACUGUAGAGGCAGAUGGAAUUCCGGGUGUAGCGGUGGAAUGCGUAGAGAUCCGGAAGAACACCGGUGGCGAAGGCGGUCUGCUGGGCAGUUGCUGACGCUGAUGCGCGACAGCGUGGGGAGCAAACAGG
rnacentral:rRNA from 1 species